rnacentral:rRNA from 1 species
UAUGCUUCUCCUAAAGACUAAGCCAUGCAUGCCAAGACUGGAGUAGUCUCUCUGAAUCUGCGAACGGCUCCGCAAACCAGUUGUAAACUAGCGUGGACAUGCUUGGGCCUGCCCCUCACGGGGCGAGCCUGGGCAAAUAUGGACAUCCCUGGUAAUUCUGAGGUUAAAACACGUUAGCAACCCCUGCUUGACCCCUUAUGGUGUGCAAACGCCGCUAGGGGAAUGGUGGGGGACGUGUGAGGCAAGGCUUGGAUGAAUUCGGGAAAGGGCGCACGUCAAAACCGUCAACCCUUCGGGGAAGGGGGCAAGUAAGCUUACAAGAGCGGAGUGUAAAAGCACCGCUUGAGCCCUAGCCCCUGACGGCGGCCACUGUGUGCUUCUGACCUAUCAACUAGACGGCAGCGUAAUGGACAUGCCAUGGUUACAACGGGUACAGAGGAUUAGGGUUCGAUCCUGGAGAGUGGGCCUGAGAGAUUGCUCAUACUUCUAAGGAAGGCAGCAGGCGCGCAACGUUCCCAUUGGGCAAAGCCCGAGGGCGUUAGGGGACAUAUGAAUGCCUGCCCUUUGGGUGGGCAAUUCAAAUGAGCCAGUUUUAAACAGGCUCUCGAGUAACAAUUAGAGGA